AGUGAACGCUGGCGGCGUGCUUAACACAUGCAAGUCGAACGAGAACGGAAUAUAGCUUGCUAUAUUUGUCAGCUAAGUGGCGCACGGGUGAGUAAUGUAUAGAUAACCUGCCCUUAAGAAAGGAAUAACAGUUGGAAACGACUGCUAAUGCCCUAUAUGCCUUUAAUACAUAAGUAUGCAAGGGAAACGCUUUAGUGCUUAAGGAUGGGUCUGUAUGGUAUCAGCUUGUUGGUGAGGUAAUGGCUCACCAAGGCUAUGACGCCUAACUGGUUUGAGAGGAUGAUCAGUCACACUGGAACUGAGACACGGCCCAGACUCCUACGGGAGGCAGCAGUGGGGAAUAUUGCACAAUGGACGAAAGUCUGAUGCGGCAACGCCGCGUGGAGGAUGACACAUUUCGGUGCGUAAACUCCUUUUAUAUAGGAAGAUAAUGACGGUACUAUAUGAAUAAGCACCGGCUAACUCCGUGCCAGCAGCCGCCGUAA
rnacentral:rRNA from 1 species